rnacentral:misc_RNA from 1 species
AAAAAAGACAAAUUAUAAUUAAAAAAACAGAGAGAGAGAAACUAAGCAUUGUGAUCAAAUAGAGCGAAAAGCAGAAAACAAGUGCACAGUAUAUUUAUUUGGUUGCCUACUUCGUAAAUCUGCUUUAUUAAUUCUUUGAAAGGUAACCCAAAAACUGAACCAAUCUGAUGCUUUUCGGUAUUUCAGCUUGGUUUUCAUGGAAGAAAUCAUAAUAACUGAAUUGAACCAAAUCAUAUAUAUGUUAUAUUAAAAAACCAAUGCACGAAAUUAUUUGAGUUUGGUUUGGUUCAUAAUUACUUCAGUUUUGUUCAGUUUUCUUUUCAAAAAAGAAAAAAAAAAUGCUUACUUUAGUUUUACUAAAUUUCAAACCAAAUCAACCAAUUCCCACCCCUAUGCAUGAAGGGUCAAUUAAACAUGCAUCAUUAUUUGCCUUGCCUUAAUCCUUAGUAAGCAAUAAAUAUACAUAGUCAUUACUUAUCCACCAAAUUGAACUUCGUAGAAAGUAAGUUUGAGUAUGCAAACGUAUGUAUGUUUGUUUCGAAUUGCCUAUGAGAAAAUUCAAGAUAAUAUAAAUAAAGCGACAAGGACAUUACCAUUCCGGAACCAAUCAAAUAUU